rnacentral:rRNA from 1 species
AGUGAACACUGGCGGCGUGCUUAACACAUGCAAGUCGAACGAGAACGGAUUAUAGCUUGCUAUAAUUGUCAGCUAAGUGGCGCACGGGUGAGUAAUGUAUAGGUAAUAUGCCUCUUACUAAGGGAUAACAGAUGGAAACGUUUGCUAAUACCUUAUACUCCUUAUUAACCUAAGUUAAUAAGGGAAAGAUUUAUUGGUAAGAGAUUAGCCUGUAUUGUAUCAGUUAGUUGGUGGGGUAAUGGCUUACCAAGGCUAUGACACAUAACUGGUUUGAGAGGAUGAUCAGUCACACUGGAACUGAGACACGGUCCAGACUCCUACGGGAGGCAGCAGUGGGGAAUAUUGCACAAUGGACGAAAGUCUGAUGCAGCAACGCCGCGUGGAGGAUGACACAUUUCGGUGCGUAAACUCCUUUUAUAUGAGAAGAUAAUGACGGUAUUAUAUGAAUAAGCACCGGCUAACUCCGUGCCAGCCGCCGCAGUAA